UGGGGAAUAUUGCACAAUGGGCGCAAGCCUGAUGCAGCCAUGCCGCGUGUAUGAAGAAGGCCUUCGGGUUGUAAAGUACUUUCAGCGGGGAGGAAGGUGUUGUGGUUAAUAACCGCAGCAAUUGACGUUACCCGCAGAAGAAGCACCGGCUAACUCCGUGCCAGCAGCCGCGGUAAUACGGAGGGUGCAAGCGUUAAUCGGAAUUACUGGGCGUAAAGCGCACGCAGGCGGUCUGUUAAGUCAGAUGUGAAAUCCCCGGGCUCAACCUGGGAACUGCAUCUGAUACUGGCAGGCUUGAGUCUCGUAGAGGGGGGUAGAAUUCCAGGUGUAGCGGUGAAAUGCGUAGAGAUCUGGAGGAAUACCGGUGGCGAAGGCGGCCCCCUGGACGAAGACUGACGCUCAGGUGCGAAAGCGUGGGGAGCAAACAGG
rnacentral:rRNA from 1 species